rnacentral:lncRNA from 1 species
CUGAAAAUGCAAAAUAUGCAUGGUGUGCUGUGAAGCGUCAUAGGUCCUAUUGAUCUACUGUAAUUGUGUAAGCCCUUUCGAUACAUGUAAUUGUAAAUUUGCAUGCAGGGCUUGAAAUAAUAAACGUUCCCAAAGUUCACGAUCAUGGUGAUCGGCAGUCAUGAAUUCCCUGCUUUUUUCAGGUUGGAAACCGAAACCCUGCUUUUCCGCCGAUCAUAAGCAAUUCCUUGCCGAUCGGUGAUCGGUUGUUAUUUCAAGCUCUGUCUUAACAAUUUUGAAUUGAUGCUGAUUUCAAAUGAUUAAAGCCAUGUAAUAAUUAUCCCAUGUAACUGUUAGGAAGGGCGAAAUAUUGAACGGAGGACGAAACUCCUAAAGAAAAG